GCACAUUUAGCUCAAUUGGUAGAGCAAGUAUCUUCGAAGUAUAGGGUUAUUGGUUCGAGUCCAGUAAUGUGUU
rnacentral:tRNA from 1 species